UGGGGAAUAUUGCACAAUGGAGGGAACUCUGAUGCAGCGACGCCGCGUGAACGAAGAAGGCUUUCGAGUCGUAAAGUUCUUUUAUAUGGGAAGAUAAUGACGGUACCAUAAGAAAAAGUCCCGGCUAACUACGUGCCAGCAGCCGCGGUAAUACGUAGGGGCUAGCGUUGUCCGGAAUCACUGGGCGUAAAGGGUUCGCAGGCGGAAAUGCAAGUCAGGUGUAAAAGGCAGUAGCUUAACUACUGUAAGCAUUUGAAACUGCAUAUCUUGAGAAGAGUAGAGGUAAGUGGAAUUUUUAGUGUAGCGGUGAAAUGCGUAGAUAUUAAAAAGAAUACCGGUGGCGAAGGCGACUUACUGGGCUCAUUCUGACGCUGAGGAACGAAAGCGUGGGUAGCAAACAGG
rnacentral:rRNA from 1 species